rnacentral:rRNA from 1 species
CAGCAGCCGCGGUAAUACGUAGGUGGCAAGCGUUGUCCGGAAUUAUUGGGCGUAAAGCGCAUGUAGGCUGUAAUUUAAGUCUGUCGUGAAACUGCGGGGCUCAGCCCCGUAUGGCGAUGGAAACUGGGUUACUUGAGUGCAGGAAAGGAAAGGGGAACUCCCAGUGUAGCGGUGAAAUGCGUAGAUAUUGGGAAGAACACCGGUGGCGAAGGCGCCUUUCUGGACUGUGUCUGACGCUGAGAUGCGAAAGCCAGGGUAGCGAACGGGAUUAGAUACCCCGGUAGUCCUGGCCGUAAACGAUGGGUACUAGGUGUGGGAGGUAUCGACCCCUUCCGUGCCGGAGUUAACGCAAUAAGUACCCCGCCUGGGGAGUACGGCCGCAAGGCUUAAACUCAAAGAAAUUGACGG